CGAUCUGUGUAGGAUAGGUGGGAGGCUUUGAAACCGGGACGCUAGUUUCGGUGGAGCCGACCUUGAAAUACCACCCUGGUUUGUUUGAGGUUCUAACCUUGGCCCGUGAAUCCGGGUCGGGGACAGUGCAUGGUAGGCAGUUUGACUGGGGCGGUCUCCUCCCAAAGUGUAACGGAGGAGUUCGAAGGUACGCUUGGUACGGUCGGACAUCGUACCUAAAGUGCAAUGGCAAAAGCGUGCUUAACUGCGAGACCGACAAGUCGAGCAGGUGCGAAAGCAGGACAUAGUGAUCCGGUGGUUCUGUAUGGAAGGGCCAUCGCUCAACGGAUAAAAGGUACUCUAGGGAUAACA
rnacentral:rRNA from 1 species